AACUUGUGAGUGACGAUGAGGUUUCACUUCCUGGUACAGAGCACAAGUGGUCAAAGGAGCCCCGUGAGAGCAGAAGGAACUUUUUCCAAUUACUUUUUUGCCUGACACGACUUCUUCAUCUUCAUAAUGCUUCUGUUGAUCCUUUUUGUUGUGUCUAUGACCUCAUGUGCUGCACAAACAACUGUGGCCAUUUUAGAGGUGAGGGUUCUGUCCCAAAUUGUCUUAAAUGAGAGAGUGGCCCAACCCGUUUUGGACAAGCUCUAUGAAGCCUUCCAGAUGGAAUCUAAUAGGACAUUUGUUCUAACAAUAAAGAUCACAUGAGUUUAAAUUGCGAUUCUUCAGCCAAACCUAACUGCUCUUCCAUCUUGAUUUUUUCCUGGAAUUCAGGGCCUGACGAAAGAAUUUUAAAAAAAAGUCGUGGAACUAAAUAACUAAAGAAUGUUGACUUA